UACGGAGGGUGCGAGCGUUGUCCGGAAUCACUGGGCGUAAAGGGCGCGUAGGCGGCGCGGGCAGUCAACGGUGAAAGCUCGGGGCUCAACUCCGAGUCGGCCGUCGAUACUCCCGCGCUCGAGCACUGUAGAGGCAGGUGGAAUUCCGGGUGUAGCGGUGGAAUGCGUAGAGAUCAGGAAGAACACCCGUGGCUAAGGCGGCGUCUCUAGUACGGUACUGACGCUGAGACGCGAAAGCGUGGGGAGCGAACAGG
rnacentral:rRNA from 1 species